rnacentral:rRNA from 1 species
CCUACGGGCUGCAGCAGUGGGGAAUAUUGGACAAUGGGCGAAAGCCUGAUCCAGCCAUGCCGCGUGUGUGAAGAAGGCCUUCGGGUUGUAAAGCACUUUCAGUGGGGAAGAAAGCCUUGGGGCUAAUACCCUCGAGGAAGGACAUCACCCACAGAAGAAGCACCGGCUAACUCCGUGCCAGCAGCCGCGGUAAUACGGAGGGUGCGAGCGUUAAUCGGAAUUACUGGGUGUAAAGCGCGCGUAGGCGGUCUGAUAAGCCGGUUGUGAAAGCCCCGGGCUCAACCUGGGAACGGCAUCCGGAACUGUCAGGCUAGAGUGCAGGAGAGGAAGGUAGAAUUCCCGGUGUAGCGGUGAAAUGCGUAGAGAUCGGGAGGAAUACCAGUGGCGAAGGCGGCCUUCUGGACUGACACUGACGCUGAGGUGCGAAAGCGUGGGUAGCAAACAGGAUUAGAUACCCCGGUAGUC